rnacentral:rRNA from 1 species
UACGGAGAGUGCGACCGUUGUUCGGAUUCACUGGGCGUAAAGGGCACGUAGGCGGCUUGGCAAAUCGGUCGUGGAAUCCCGACGCUUACCGUCGGAACGGCGGCCGAAAAUACCGAGCUCGAGGGCGUGAGGGGUCACUGGAACUCCUGGUGAAGCGGUGAAAUGCGUAGAUAUCAGGAGGAACGCCGGAGGCGAAAGCGAGUGACUGGCGCGUUCCUGACGCUGAGGUGCGAAAGCUAGGGGAGCAAACAGG